UACGUAGGGGGCAAGCGUUGUCCGGAUUUAUUGGGCGUAAAGAGCGUGUAGGCGGCGAGGUAGGUCUGCUGUGAAAACUCGAGGCUUAACCUCGAGCUGUCGGCGGAAACCAUCUGGCUAGAGUCCGGAAGAGGAGAAUGGAAUUCCCGGUGUAGCGGUGAAAUGCGCAGAUAUCGGGAAGAACACCCGUGGCGAAGGCGGUUCUCUGGGACGGUACUGACGCUGAGACGCGAAAGCGUGGGGAGCGAACAGG
rnacentral:rRNA from 1 species